rnacentral:lncRNA from 1 species
GCGGCAAAUUUUUUUGUUUCUCGGUGACCCUUUCGAUUUUGCUUGCUCUUUGGGGAUAAAAAAUUAUAAUUUUUGCUGGAGCGAAAGAAUUUUAGUGCAUUAAGAAAAUCUGGCGCGUGCUUUGUAGCGGAAUAAGUCAUUUUUUGGUUAUUAGUGAUAAAGCUUGUGUUUUGAAGAGGGCACCUGAUGAAAUUUUCACUGUUGUCCCAGUCUUGAUUUAUCAUAACUCUUCUGGUUGCUGGUGGGUCGUAUUUUUGGGAUUGGACAGAAAAAAUCAAGCCUAGUUUUAGUUGGUGCUCUUGGUUUAUUUCUUACAGAAUUUGAGUACUGGUGCCCCGGUAAAGAGGGUUAGGGCAGCAGGAAAACUUGUGAGUAUGAUGUUAUUCUUUAAUUUGUUUUCCUGUUCACAUAACAAAUAUACCAACUUUACCUUAGCUUGAUUGUAUCUUCCCCACUCUUUGCAACCUUAUGGCAUUGUUGGCGUCCCUAAUAUGUGUAUGCUUACAUGUUGUGCAUAACUGGUUGAAGGACAUAUACGUGAGCAAGGGGAAUUCAAGUAGCAGCCCUUGCCCUAGUGAGGCAGUUCUGUGCUAGCAGUUUAAGGUGAUAUAAAGCUUGUCAGCGAGCCUUAAUGCACUUCUUUUUCUUUUGAUCAGUUGAGUUGCUCCUGAUAAUCCAGUCCCCAUCAUGCCCUGUCGAGCUUCUGGGAUGGGGCUUGGAGUUCUUUCCUUACCUCCUGCUGCUGAAAGUAACCUGUAUGUGCACCUUAUUGAGGGUUCAUUAACUGGGAAGCAGCUUUAAGGGUUGUCCUUUUGAUGCACGUGAAAUCUAAUUCAAAUAGCACAAUAUUCUGUAGGGAUAUUUUGUUAUUUAGUUAGUCAUGCACUGAGCUAUGCACUUUCAGUCUAAUAACAAAUUUAAGGAAUAACUUUAAAACUAGCUCUUGCCAUUUGUUUGAUCUUUUAGCUCAAGUUUUGGAGGCACUUUUCUGGUUUUGAAGGCGAGUCUUCAUUGGCUUAAGCCUUCAAAGCAAGAAUUGUACUUCCAGAUUAUUAGUUAAAAGUAAUCAAGCAAGUCUUAGGUCCUAUCAUUUUCUGCAUUAGGUUUUCUUAAAUUACUCAAACAAACGUGGCUAUGACAAGCUGUUUAAUAACUAAAGGGUCACUUCAAUCUCCCUCUCUGCCCAUUCUCACUUUACCCCUCUCUCUAAGUUGAAUUGCUUUAAUCUCUUUCACCAUCUUUCAAUUUUCUCCAAUUUUUUACAAUAUUCACAACAGCCUCACAUGAAAUCCUAGUUUUGACAUGUGCAAUAUAUUACAAAGAGGAAACAACCUUAUGAAAGAAAGCCUAACUUAACAGAACAAAAGGAUUACCAAUCACUGUCUUAUUCUUAAUUCAAUUUCUCUCCAAUCACAGCUUCAUUAUUGCCAAUGUUAAUUUUGCAAUGCAGCUGUUCCAAUUCACAGUUACCCUGUAAGAUAGCAAGCUGAAAAAAUUUAUGUCUCAAUAAGAAGCCGAAGAAAGGAAAAGCUAUACUCGAAAUGUGAUGGAGGUGCAACUUGGGUGGUGGUGUGAGUUGGGAGGGUAGGAGGGAGGUAUUUGCAGUUGGCAAAUGGUAUGGUCGUUAGGGAGUUUAAGAGAAAGGAGGGAAUGGUAGGAGGAGGAGGUGGGUUUGGGUAAAAGUAGGAUUUGGUUUUGUAUGAAGUAAAGGUAUUUGUGCUUUUCUUUGGACAUAAACUGUUUGCAUGCCUAAAUUGAAAUGACUUUGGGGUGACACUGGUAAUUUUCAUAAUGUGGAAAAAACAAAAAGUGGUGGAGGGGAUUGAUACAGUUGAAUCUUUACAGAGACAAUGUGAGAAUUGGGCAACUCUUUAUGGCGGGAUAAUGCAUUUAGCCCAAAAAAAAACAUGUAUUUUUGUUUAAAAAAGUUUCGGGAAGCCCUUAACAUCUCCUUAGGAACCCGACUUCUUCUUUCUCCAUUUCCUUUUUAUUCUUGUGUUACUAUUUUCCUUUCUUUCUCAAAGUACCUCCACUCCUCUCUAUCAUCCUUAAAGUCUCAUCUUUAGUUCUUCCCACCAUGCACCCCAUUCAAUAUUGAUGCAAAACUGCUAAGGCCCAACUCUUGUAGUACUAGUUCUAGUAUUGUAGUCUUCCACUUCCAUGGCCUUCAUCUCAUCUUGUCCAUUUGAAUUCUCCCUGUUCUUCUUCUUCCUCUGCUGGUAUAUCUUGGCUUGGCCAGUAGUCCUAGUUCUAGUUAACCUUUGAUUUUCUGUUGGUGAACCGAAUUGUCAUAUUUUGCAAUGGCUAGCAGUAUUGUGUGCUCGUACCAAUUUCAGAUGAACUUCAGCGCUCUAACCUUGAAAUGGGUGUAGCUUGCAUAUCUCUUAACCUAAAUAUGAGUCUCUGGUGUGCUAAUAAGUGUCUUUGUGGACUGAGAGGGAAAUAAAUGUCUUCGCUGGGCAGUUGUGAAAUCACAUGGUUCUGUUUCAGUGCAGGAAUUACCAAUGAAGGGGCAUGUAAUCUGGGUGCAACACUUCUUUUUUUGUUUUUUCCCUAAUUAUCUGCUUUCCUUCCAUUAUUGUGGGAUCAGACUAUUCAAUGGAUUGUGGGAUAUUUUGGGACUCAAUUGUUUUCUCUCUUUUUCUGCUUCGCUUCCUUGCUUUUGGGGUUUAAGAUCUUUAAGUUUCAUGCUGUUUGUUUAUCUGAUGUACUGUGGGAAUUCCAGAAUGAUUAGGUUGCAAUUUCUUGUGGACAGUAUCCUUUUCAGGGAUGCCUUGGAUGACCCCGAAUGACAUGAGAAUUCAUUCUCUUGUGUCUUUGGACAUCUCUGUCUGUGUUCCUUUCUUGAUGAUAGAUAAUACUCUGC